CGCAAUGAGAAUGGACAUGAAUCGGAUGCGCGACUGCUGCCAAUUACUUAGGAGUUAGGAGGAAGGUCGUAGUGAGAGUCGAACACCAAAAACAAGGGUGAGCACAAUUGAAAGAGUAACGUUAAUGGCGGGAGUUCCUCCGAUGAAUCAAAAUCAGCUUCCGAUUCAGUCGCAGCAGCAGCAGCAGCAUCAUUUAGGGCUUCAACCAGAAUCACAAGUUAGGGCUGCUGCGUCGACCCUUUUGAUUCGGCACUUGCCCGAAGCCAUUCCCGAACCGACGCUUUCUCGUCUCUUCUCGCACUAUGGCGCUUCCUCUGUCCGUCCUUGCACUUCCAAUUCCCGAUUGAGAAACUGUGCUUUUGUGGAUUUCCAAAACGAAGCAUUGGCUGUUCAAGCACAACGUCAAUUAAAUGGGUUGAGAUUCCUUGGCAAAGUAUUGAAGGUAGAAAAGGCCUCUAAGACACCCAAUAGUGAUGAUAAUAAAAGUAAUAGUAGAACUCAUUUUGGUACACAUGAAGCUAAAUUGAGCAAGGAUUUAAUAUCACCCACAUCCACAUCAUCUUUCUCCAAAGAUAUUGGAGAUGAACAAGUCUCGAGAUCGAGGUCCCUGCCUGCCGCCGAGCUCAUUGCCCCUAGACUUGGUGUGGACUAUCCGUUUCCUCCUCACCUCGAGUACGCUUACCCUCCACCAGAUGGCAAUAUCCUAACUAACAUUGUAAAUGCUCUAAUUGCCGUUCCUCGCUUUUACACACAGGUCUUGCACUUAAUGAAUAAAAUGAAUAUCCCAGCGCCAUUUCGUAUGGCUAUGCCCACUCCACCUCUACCACCUUUAGCACCUGCACCACCGCCUCCCCCUCCCCCCCUUGAAUCGGCAAAGCAACCAUUGGCUGUAUCAUCCAGUGAGGAGUCAGAAAUGGAAUCUUCAGAUGAGGAAGUUGAUGAAAAUAUAAAUACCAGCGGACCUUCAAGAGGUUCGAAGCGUAUCAAGCGGGCAGCCAUUGUUGGUCCUGCUGUUCAUAAAGAUGUGGCUCAUGAAGCUGUUGGAGUGAAACCUGCCACUCUGAUACCAAAAGAGAUACCAGUCAUAAAAAAGAGGAAUUCUGUGUUACAGAUAAAAUUUGCAAACAAGGCAGCUCAGAAGGAACAUAAUGACGUUGGUGUUUCUGGAGAAACAGAGGAUCCAAAUACAGAGAGUUUAGAUAUUAAACCUUAUGCAACUCCAGAGGAAAUACAGAACGGGAAAUUGGGCCCAGAGGAACUCUUAUCACUUCCAGUGUUUAAGAAUUAUAAAGCUGGAAACCCUGCCUCUGUGUUGUAUAUAAAGAACUUGGCAAAGGAUGUUGUUGUUGAUGACUUCUACUACAUAUUUGGAUCAUUGUUUGGAAGUACUGAUGUAGCCAAAUCUAGUCUCAAUGUGAAGCUAAUGCAGGAAGGAAGAAUGAGGGGUCAAGCUUUUGUGACGUUCCCAUCAGUUGAACUAGCUCAUCAUGCUUUGAAUCUAGUGAAUGGUUAUCAGUUCAAAGGCAAGCCGAUGGUCAUUCAGUUUGGCCGCAAUCCUGCAGCUGCAAAAGAAAAUCUUCCAUGAGAUGGGAUUUCUGAAGUGAAACCCGUGUUACCCGUAGAUACCUCGUCAUGCUGCUGAAUAAUGGCUUAGAGCAAGGCCUCUCCAGAUCUGAAAGGCCCUUGCAUCUUGUGGUGGUUGAAGAAAGCAACUCGAUGUUUUCGGGCAUAGGACUGAACCCUCUUGCAAAGGUUUUGAAGAUCCACCAUUUCUGCACCAGCCAGCCUUAAAUGCUGCUGUAUGCUAUGCUAUUUUACACCUGUUGAUCUCUUCUUUCUCCAAAAUAUGGUGCCACAAAAUCCCUUCAAUUACUUAAAAAGGCAAAAGGGGAGAAGUAUUGCCAUGGAUGAACCGUCCAACAGGAAUAACCGAACAGCCUUGGACAUAUCAUCUAUGUCAUGAGCACAUCGGUGUCGCUGUCUCCAGAAUCCGGCGCAGGCUGCCUCGCCGACAAUUCGCCACCAAGAGCGUUUGAACUUCCUUGAACUCAUCAACAACGUUUUGAACUUCCUUAGGCAUGGUUGAUUGAGGAGAGAAUUCCUCGUCGUCAUACUCGACUUGAGGAUGGCCAGGUAGCUCUCAUCUUCCUUCCUCAAGCCUUUCUUGAAUUGGAUGGCGGAUAACACCUUGGGCUCUAUUUUGGUAGAUCAGAAGGGACCACACAAGUCUUCUAACAUCCAUGAUGGACACGGUGUUGGCAAAUGGGACAGGAAAUGGGACAGGAAAGGCCUUCACUUGAUCGAUAACUUUAAAGUCAUCCAUGGGAACCACAGAUAAAUCCAGGUGACCCGCCCAUGGACCAAGGGUAAUCCAGGUGACCCUUGUUCCUUGAAUGUCGCAGCCAUAGCAUUGAGGGCCUUCCUCUUUGGGCCCAUCACAU